UACGGAGGGUGCGAGCGUUAAUCGGAAUUACUGGGCGUAAAGCGCACGUAGGCGGUUUGAUAAGUCAGAUGUGAAAUCCCCGGGCUCAACCUGGGAACGGCAUUUGAUACUGUCUGACUGGAGUGUGGUAGAGGAAAGUGGAAUUCCGCAUGUAGCGGUGAAAUGCGUAGAUAUGCGGAGGAACACCAGUGGCGAAGGCGACUUUCUGGACCAACACUGACGCUGAGGUGCGAAAGCGUGGGGAGCAAACAGG
rnacentral:rRNA from 1 species